rnacentral:rRNA from 1 species
AUCAAUAAGCGGAGGAAAAGAAACUAACAAGGAUUCCCCUAGUAACUGCGAGUGAAGCGGGAAAAGCUCAAAUUUAAAAUCUGGUAGUCUUUGGCUGCCCGAGUUGUAAUCUAGAGAAGUGUCAUCCGCGCUGGACCGUGUACAAGUCUCCUGGAAUGGAGCGUCAUAGAGGGUGAGAAUCCCGUCUUUGACACGGACUACCAGGGCUUUGUGAUGCGCUCUCAAAGAGUCGAGUUGUUUGGGAAUGCAGCUCAAAAUGGGUGGUAAAUUCCAUCUAAAGCUAAAUAUUGGCGAGAGACCGAUAGCGAACAAGUACCGUGAGGGAAAGAUGAAAAGAACUUUGGAAAGAGAGUUAAACAGUACGUGAAAUUGCUGAAAGGGAAACGCUUGAAGUCAGUCGCGUUGUCCAGGGAUCAACCUUGCUUUUGCUUGGUGCACUUUCUGGUUGACGGGUCAGCAUCAAUUUCGAUCAUUGGAAAAAGAUUAGGGGAAUGUGGCAUCUCCGGAUGUGUUAUAACCCUUGGUUGCAUACAAUGGUUGGGAUUGAGGAACUCAGCACGCCGAAAGGCCGGGUUUUUAACCACGUACGUGCUUAGGAUGCUGGCAUAAUGGCUUUAAUCGACCCGUCUUGAAACACGGACCAAGGAGUCUAACAUGCCUGCGAGUAUUUGGGUGGAAAACCCGAGUGCGCAAUGAAAGUGAAAGUUGAGAUCCUUGUCGUGAGGAGCAUCGACGCCCGGAUCAGACCUUUUGUGACGAUUCCGCGGUAGAGCAUGUAUGUUGGGACCCGAAAGAUGGUGAACUAUGCCUGAAUAGGGUGAAGCCAGAGGAAACUCUGGUGGAGGCUCGUAGCGAUUCUGACGUGCAAAUCGAUCGUCAAAUUUGGGUAUAGGGGCGAAAGACUAAUCGAAACCAUCUAGUAGCUGG